rnacentral:rRNA from 1 species
GAUGAACGCUGGCGGCGUGCCUAAUACAUGCAAGUAGAACGCUGAAGGAAGGAGCUUGCUCUUUCCGGAUGAGUUGCGAACGGGUGAGUAACGCGUAGGUAACCUGCCUGGUAGCGGGGGAUAACUAUUGGAAACGAUAGCUAAUACCGCAUAACAACAGUUGUUGCAUGACAGCUGUUUAAAAGGUGCAAAUGCACCACUACCAGAUGGACCUGCGUUGUAUUAGCUAGUUGGUGAGGUAACGGCUCACCAAGGCGACGAUACAUAGCCGACCAGAGAGGGUGAUCGGCCACACUGGGACUGAGACACGGCCCAGACUCCUACGGGAGGCAGCAGUAGGGAAUCUUCGGCAAUGGACGGAAGUCUGACCGAGCAACGCCGCGUGAGUGAAGAAGGUUUUCGGAUCGUAAAGCUCUGUUGUAAGAGAAGAACGAGUGUGAGAGUGGAAAGUUCACACUAUGACGGUAUCUUACCAGAAAGGGACGGCUAACU